UACGAAGGGUGCAAACGUUGCUCGGAAUUAUUGGGCGUAAAGCGCACGUAGGCGGCUUUGCAAGUCGGAUGUGAAAUCUCUCGGCUCAACCAAGGAAGUGCAUCCGAAACUGCAGAGCUUGAGUACCAAAGAGGAUCGCGGAAUUCCCGGUGUAGAGGUGAAAUUCGUAGAUAUCGGGAGGAACACCAGUGGCGAAGGCGGCGAUCUGGGUGGAUACUGACGCUGAGGUGCGAAAGCGUGGGGAGCAAACAGG
rnacentral:rRNA from 1 species